rnacentral:tRNA from 1 species
CGGGGCGUAGCGCAGCCUGGUAGCGCACUACACUGGGGGUGUAGUGGUCGUGGGUUCAAAUCCCGCCGCCCCGACCA